CAGCCAAGAAGAGUGCCUGACGAGCCCAUUUCCAACUGGUUGCAACAGAUGGCCACUCCUCCCUGACCUGCUGCCACAGGUUUCUUCCUGUUAGAAGCGAGUUUUUCUUCCCACUAUCACCAAUUACUGUCUUUUUAAACACUUUCCUGUGAUUAUUUUCAUAUUGACUUGAAAUAAAAUAAUCCCCCUCUGCUGGCGCUGCAGCUUAUUGCAACUUCUCCAAUUCAUCCAUCUGGAGGUGGAUGAAUUCUUUGCUGUGAUAUAGUGAAAAUUAGUAAUAAACAUUGCUGAAAUACU